CAGCAGCCACGGGAAUACGUAGGGUGCGAGCGUUAAUCGGAAUUACUGGGCGUAAAGCGUGCGCAGGCGGUUAUAUAAGACAGAUGUGAAAUCCCCGGGCUCAACCUGGGACCUGCAUUUGUGACUGUAUAGCUAGAGUACGGUAGAGGGGGAUGGAAUUCCGCGUGUAGCAGUGAAAUGCGUAGAUAUGCGGAGGAACACCGAUGGCGAAGGCAAUCCCCUGGACCUGUACUGACGCUCAUGCACGAAAGCGUGGGGAGCAAACAGGAUUAGAUACCCCUGUAGUCCCUGUCUCUUAUAC
rnacentral:rRNA from 1 species